rnacentral:rRNA from 1 species
GAUGAACGCUGGCGGCGUGCCUAAUACAUGCAAGUCGAGCGAAGCGGGGACGGGUGAGUAACACGUGGAUAACCUCCUAUAAGACUGGGUUAACUUCGGGAAACCGGUGCUAAACCUGCUAUUUAUGGAUGGAUGCUGGCUGCAUUAGCUAGUUGGUAAGGUAACGGCUUACCAAGGCAACGAUGCAUAGCCGACCUGAGAGGGUGAUCGGCCACACUGGAACUGAGACACGGUCCAGACUCCUACGGGAGGCAGCAGUAGGGAAUCUUCCGCAAUGGGCGAAAGCCUGACAGAGCAACGCCGCGUGAGUGAAGAAGGUCUUCGGAUCGUAAAACUCUGUUAUUAGGGAAGCGGUACCUAAUCAGAAAGCCACGGCUAACUACGUGCCAGCAGCCGCGGUAAUUC